rnacentral:rRNA from 1 species
CCGUGAAGCUGGAUUCGCUAGUAAUCGCGCAUCAGCCAUGGCGCGGUGAAUACGUUCCCGGGCCUUGUACACACCGCCCGUCAAGCCAUGGGAGCCGGGGGUGCUUGAAGUGCGUCGCCGCAAGGCGCGCCCUAGAGCAAAACCGGUGACUGGGGCUAAGUCGUAACAAGGUAAC